rnacentral:rRNA from 1 species
CCUACGGGAGGCAGCAGUAGGGAAUAUUGGGCAAUGGAGGCAACUCUGACCCAGCCAUGCCGCGUGCAGGAAGACGGUCCUCUGGAUUGUAAACUGCUUUUGAAUGGGAAGAAACGUAGCUUUGCGAAGUAUUUUGACGGUACUAUUAGAAUAAGCACCGGCUAACUCCGUGCCAGCAGCCGCGG